UACGAAGGGGGGCUAGCGUUGCUCGGAAUCACUGGGCGUAAAGGGUGCGUAGGCGGGUCUUUAAGUCAGGGGUGAAAUCCUGGAGCUCAACUCCAGAACUGCCUUCGAUACUGGCGAUCUUGAGUCCGGAAGAGGUGAGUGGAACUCCUAGUGUAGAGGUGGAAUUCGUAGAUAUUAGGAAGAACACCAGUGGCGAAGGCGGCUCACUGGUCCGGUACUGACGCUGAGGUGCGAAAGCGUGGGGAGCAAACAGG
rnacentral:rRNA from 1 species